ACGAACGCUGGCGGCGUGCCUAAUACAUGCAAGUCGAACGAAACUUUCUUACACCGAAUGCUUGCAUUCACCGUAAGAAGUUGAGUGGCGGACGGGUGAGUAACACGUGGGUAACCUGCCUAAAAGAAGGGGAUAACACUUGGAAACAGGUGCUAAUACCGUAUAUCUCUAAGGAUCGCAUGAUCCUUAGAUGAAAGAUGGUUCUGCUAUCGCUUUUAGAUGGACCCGCGGCGUAUUAACUAGUUGGUGGGGUAACGGCCUACCAAGGUGAUGAUACGUAGCCGAACUGAGAGGUUGAUCGGCCACAUUGGGACUGAGACACGGCCCAAACUCCUACGGGAGGCAGCAGUAGGGAAUCUUCCACAAUGGACGCAAGUCUGAUGGAGCAACGCCGCGUGAGUGAAGAAGGUCUUCGGAUCGUAAAACUCUGUUGUUAGAGAAGAACACGAGUGAGAGUAACUGUUCAUUCGAUGACGGUAUCUAACCAGCAAGUCACGGCUAACUACGUGCCAGCAGCCGCGGUAAUACGUAGGUGGCAAGCGUUGUCCGGAUUUAUUGGGCGUAAAGGGAACGCAGGCGGUCUUUUAAGUCUGAUGUGAAAGCCUUCGGCUUAACCGGAGUAGUGCAUUGGAAACUGGAAGACUUGAGUGCAGAAGAGGAGAGUGGAACUCCAUGUGUAGCGGUGAAAUGCGUAGAUAUAUGGAAGAACACCAGUGGCGAAAGCGGCUCUCUGGUCUGUAACUGACGCUGAGGUUCGAAAGCGUGGGUAGCAAACAGGAUUAGAUACCCUGGUAGUCCACGCCGUAAACGAUGAAUGCUAGGUGUUGGAGGGUUUCCGCCCUUCAGUGCCGCAGCUAACGCAAUAAGCAUUCCGCCUGGGGAGUACGACCGCAAGGUUGAAACUCAAAGGAAUUGACGGGGGCCCGCACAAGCGGUGGAGCAUGUGGUUUAAUUCGAAGCAACGCGAAGAACCUUACCAGGUCUUGACAUCCACUUAAACUUACAGAGAUGUAAGGUGUGCUUGCACAAAGUGAGACAGGUGGUGCAUGGUUGUCGUCAGCUCGUGUCGUGAGAUGUUGGGUUAAGUCCCGCAACGAGCGCAACCCUUGUUGUCAGUUGCCAGCAUUAAGUUGGGCACUCUGGCGAGACUGCCGGUGACAAACCGGAGGAAGGUGGGGACGACGUCAAGUCAUCAUGCCCCUUAUGACCUGGGCUACACACGUGCUACAAUGGACGGUACAACGAGUCGCGAGACCGCGAGGUUUAGCUAAUCUCUUAAAGCCGUUCUCAGUUCGGAUUGUAGGCUGCAACUCGCCUACAUGAAGUCGGAAUCGCUAGUAAUCGCGAAUCAGCAUGUCGCGGUGAAUACGUUCCCGGGCCUUGUACACACCGCCCGUCACACCAUGAGAGUUUGUAACACCCAAAGCCGGUGGGGUAACCGCAAGGAGCCAGCCGUCUAAGGUGGGACAGAUGAUUGGGGUG
rnacentral:rRNA from 1 species